GCAGGCAAGGGGAGUGAGGAAGGGGGACGAACUUGGGGAAGCCUCCCUGAGGCUCUGGUAACCCUCUCCUUUCCCUAGCUCCUUCAGCCUUAAAACAGCAUCGGUCGGUGUCUCAGCCAGUGACCCACCUGACCCGUCUUGAAACACGGACCAAGGAGUCUAACAUGUGUGCAAGCCAUUGGGAGGAAAAGCCCUAAAGGCGUAAUGAAAGUAAAGCUGCCUCUGCGGCAGUGACAUGGGAUGCUGUCCUUUUCGCCAAUGCGGCAGUCGCACCAUGGUUCCAUCUGAUUCCCUUUGAGGAGCGGGUGGAAAAUGAGCAGACAUGUUGGGACCCGAAAGAUGGUGAACUAUGCCUGAGCAGGGCGAAGCCAGAGGAAACUCUGGUGGAGGCU
rnacentral:rRNA from 1 species